rnacentral:rRNA from 1 species
GACGAAUGCUGGCUGCGUGCUUAACACAUGCAAGUCGAACGGUGAAGGGGAGCUUGCUCCCCGGAUCAGUGACGAACGGGUGAGUAACACGUGGGCAACCUGCCCCUCACUCUGGGAUAACUCCGGGAAACCGGGGCUAAUACCGGAUACGACCGGGAGCGACCUCGCUCCUGGUGGAAAGAACUUCGGUGAGGGAUGGGCCCGCGGCCUAUCAGCUAGUUGGUGGGGUAACGGCCCACCAAGGCGACGACGGGUAGCCGGCCUGAGAGGGCGACCGGCCACACUGGGACUGAGACACGGCCCAGACUCCUACGGGAGGCAGCAGUGGGGAAUAUUGCGCAAUGGGCGAAAGCCUGACGCAGCGACGCAGCGUGAGGGACGAAGGCCUUCGGGUUGUAAACCUCUUUCAGCGGGGACGAAGCGAAAGUGACGGUACCCGCAGAAGAAGCACCGGCUAACUACGUGCCAGCAGCCGCCGUAA